rnacentral:rRNA from 2 species
AGACCCGAAACCCGGUGAUCUAGCCAUGGGCAGGUUGAAGGUUGGGUAACACUAACUGGAGGACCGAACCGACUAAUGUUGAAAAAUUAGCGGAUGACCUGUGGCUGGGGGUGAAAGGCCAAUCAAACCGGGAGAUAGCUGGUUCUCCCCGAAAGCUAUUUAGGUAGCGCCUCGUGAAUUCAUCUCCGGGGGUAGAGCACUGUUUCGGCUAGGGGGCCAUCCCGGCUUACCAACCCGAUGCAAACUGCGAAUACCGGAGAAUGUUAUCACGGGAGACACACGGCGGGUGCUAACGUCCGUCGUGAAGAGGGAAACAACCCAGACCGCCAGCUAAGGUCCCAAAGUCAUGGUUAAGUGGGAAACGAUGUGGGAAGGCCCAGACAGCCAGGAUGUUGGCUUAGAAGCAGCCAUCAUUUAAAGAAAGCGUAAUAGCUCACUGGUCGAGUCGGCCUGCGCGGAAGAUGUAACGGGGCUAAACCAUGCACCGAAGCUGCGGCAGCGACACUCAGGUGUUGUUGGGUAGGGGAGCGUUCUGUAAGCCUGUGAAGGUGUGCUGUGAGGCAUGCUGGAGGUAUCAGAAGUGCGAAUGCUGACAUAAGUAACGAUAAAGCGGGUGAAAAGCCCGCUCGCCGGAAGACCAAGGGUUCCUGUCCAACGUUAAUCGGGGCAGGGUGAGUCGACCCCUAAGGCGAGGCCGAAAGGCGUAGUCGAUGGGAAACGGGUUAAUAUUCCCGUACUUGGUGUUACUGCGAAGGGGGGACGGAGAAGGCUAUGUUGGCCGGGCGACGGUUGUCCCGGUUUAAGCGUGUAGGUGUGUGUUCCAGGUAAAUCCGGUU